AGGCGACAUAGCCAAGUGGUAAGGCAUGAGCCUGCAAAGCUUUGAUCCCCGGUUCGAAUCCGGGUGUCGCCUCCAA
rnacentral:tRNA from 2 species